rnacentral:rRNA from 1 species
CAGACGACUCUCGACAACGGAUAUCUCGGCUCACGCAUCGAUGAAGAACGUAGCAAAAUGCGAUACUUGGUGUGAAUUGCAGAAUCCCGUGAACCAUCGAGUUUUUGAACGCAGUUGCGCCCGAAACCAUUCGGCUGAGGGCACGUCUGCCUGGGCGUCACGC